AACGAACGCUGGCGGCAGGCCUAACACAUGCAAGUCGAACGCUGUAGCAAUACAGAGUGGCGCACGGGUGCGUAACGCGUGGGAAUAUGCCCUUGACUACGGAACAACGUCGGGAAACUGACGCUAAUACCGUAUAAUGUCUUCGGACCAAAGAUUUAUCGGUCAAGGAUUAGCCCGCGUCUGAUUAGCUAGUUGGUGAGGUAACGGCUCACCAAGGCGACGAUCAGUAGCUGGUCUGAGAGGAUGAUCAGCCACACUGGGACUGAGACACGGCCCAGACUCCUACGGGAGGCAGCAGUGAGGAAUAUUGGACAAUGGAGGCAACUCUGAUCCAGCCAUGCCGCGUGAGUGACGAAGGCCUUCGGGUUGUAAAGCUCUUUCAGAUGCGAAGAUAAUGACGGUAACAUCAGAAGAAGCCCCGGCUAAAUUCGUGCCAGCAGCCGCCGUAA
rnacentral:rRNA from 1 species